rnacentral:rRNA from 1 species
UCCGUAGGUGAACCUGCGGAGGGAUCAUUACAAGUGACCCUGGAUGGCUCGCUGUAUGCGAUGCUCGUGAAUGCUCGCUGAUAGUGCUCGUGAGAGCCUGAUAGUCGCUGAUGAUGCUCGCUCGGGGUGGACAUAUCAAACUCUUGCGUAACUUUGCAGUCUGAGUAAAUUUAAUUAAUAAAUUAAAACUUUCAACAACGGAUCUCUUGGUUCUGGCAUCGAUGAAGAACGCAGCGAAAUGCGAUAAGUAAUGUGAAUUGCAGAAUUCAGUGAAUCAUCGAAUCUUUGAACGCACAUUGCGCCCCCUGGUAUUCCAUGGCUCGCUGUAGAUGCUCGUGAGUUUCACCACUCAAGCCUCGCUUGGUAUUGGGCGACGCGGUCCGCCGCGAUGGCUCGUCGUAGAUACUGGGUCUUCUGUCCCCUCAGCGUUGUGAUGCUCGCUGUAGAUGCUCGUCCACGGGAGGCUACGCCGUAAAACAACCCCAUUUCUAAGGUUGACCUCGGAUCAGGUAGG